AGGGGAGGGGACAGAGAGGUGUCCUGGGCACAGACGCCGCCCAUGAGCCUGAGAAGUGCUCCUGCCCCGGGAAGAGGCUCAGCACAGAAGGAGGAAGGACAGCACAGCUGACAGCCGUGCUCAGAAAGUUUCUGGAUCCCAGGCUCAUCUCCACAGAGGAGAACAUGCAGGCAGCACAGGCCAUGGGGCCCCUCUCAGCGCCUCCCUGCACACUGCACAUCACCUGGAAGGAUCUCCUGCUCACAGCAUCAUUUUUAAUCUUGUGGAACACGCCCACCACUGCCCAAGUCAUGAUUGAAGCUCAGCCUACCAAAGUUUCUGAGGGGAAGGAUGUUCUUCUACUUGUGCGCAAUUUGCCCCAGAAAGUUGCUGCCUACGUCUGGUACAAAGGGCAAAUAAUGGACUUCCACCAAUUCAUUACAGCAUAUACAAUAGACACUGAAAGAUUUAUAUUUGGGCCUGCAUGCAGUGGACGAGAAACACUAUAUUCCAAUGGAUCCCUGCUGAUCCGGAAUGUCACCAAGCAGGACACAGGAUCCUACACCGUAAAAAUCAUAGAGCGAGCUGAGGAGACUAAAGGAGUAACUGUACAUUUCACCUUAUACCUGGAGACUCCCAAGCCCUAUAUCUCCAGCAGCAACUUAAACCCCAGGGAGGGCACGGAGACUGUGAUCUUAUCCUGUGAUCCUGACACUCAGGACGUAAGCUACCUGUGGUGGAUAAAUGGUCAGAGCCUCCCUAUCAGUCGCCCGUGGCAGCUGUGCGAAAACAACAGGAUCCUCAUGUUAUAUGGUGUCACAAAGGAUAUUGCAGGACCCUAUGAAUGUGAAAUGAAGAACCCAGUGAGUUCCAGCCGCAGUGACCCAGUCACCCUGAAUCUUCUCUAUGGUCCACAAGUCCCCAGGAUUUUCUCUCCAUUGACCUAUUACCGUUCAGGAAAAACCCUCCAGUUGUCCUGCUUCGCGGACUCUAACCCACCGGCAGAGUAUUCUUGGACGUUUAAUGGGAAGUUUCUGCAAUCAGGACAAAAGCUCUCUAUCCCCCAAGUUACUACAAAGCAUAGCGGGCUCUAUGGUUGCUCUGCUCGUAACUCAGCCACUGGCAGCGAACGUUCUACAUUCAAGAGGAUCACAGUCGUGAGUAAGUGGAUCCCUGCAUCAUUGUCAACAGGGUUUUAGGUGGAGUCUAUCUGGCUAUCAGAGAAGUCAGGAAAACAUUUUUAUUCCCAGCCUGUGCCCCAUGGGCAGAAGCAAAUCCUAAAUUCUCCUCCUGAACCCUCUCAAUUUGUCUCUACAGACUCUCUUCUCCUAGUUUUUCUGUUUUCUCAUGGUUGACCUUGUGUCCAGCCUGAGAAACGUAGGGAGGGGGCUUUGUCAUCCUUGA